rnacentral:rRNA from 1 species
UACGUAGGUGGCAAGCGUUGUCCGGAUUUAUUGGGUUUAAAGGGUGUGUAGGUGGCGCGCUAAGUCGGGUGUGAAAUUUCGGAGCUUAACUCCGAAACUGCAUUCGAUACUGGCGUGCUUGAGGACUGGAGAGGAGACUGGAAUUCAUGGUGUAGCAGUGAAAUGCGUAGAGAUCAUGAGGAAGACCAGUGGCGAAGGCGGGUCUCUGGACAGUUCCUGACACUGAGACACGAAGGCCAGGAGAGCAAACGGG